AAACACCCACCCGUGGCUUGUUUCUGUAAAAAAAAAAAAAAUCCUCGCACACAUCCUUCCCAUUCACGACGCCUCCAGCAGAUCCCCAUCGCCGCCGCCACCUCCGCCCGAUCUCCGCCGCCGCGCCGCCCCAGGCCAGGCCGCACCGCCCCCGGCCAAGCUGCUGCUGUCCAGGUCCGCCGCACGCGCGCCCGCCUCCGGCCGCGCCCAGGCCGUACGCGUGCCCGCCUCCGGCCGCGCCCAGGCCGCACGCGCGCCCGCCCCUGGCUAGCGGCGCCGUGCAGUGGUUCAACAGGUCCAACAUCAAGCAGGUGAACACGGGGACUUGUCAAGAAGGAGGAAGCAUCAAUCGGCGGCAGCGUCAAACCAUUGCGGAGAGUCGCCGGCAUCGCAAGUCGGCCCGUCCCCACCCGGACCGUCUCUGGGAUCGCACGUUGGGGCGUCCCAUCUCUCACAGUCGCUGUGAGCCGCUUGCAGAUUCUUUUUUAUGUAUUGAACUUGUGGACUAUGAGCUGUGAUUUGUAACAUAUUGUGGAUUUCAGACAAAUUUGGUCCUUUUUUAUAUAAAUUUGUGGUUUGUGAUUAUUUGC